GUCUGGAGCGCCCGUCUGCGUUGGCCCGGUCCCCUGGAGGUAUCGCGUUUGCAUUUGGGGGUGCAGAGUCCUUGCCUAGGGAGGUUGAGAACAAAAAGAAGAUGCACCUGGACUUUCCCCGGAGCCCUCUGCGUUUUUAAGGCGUCGGGUGGAGUUGGGGUUCGUAAGCCGCGUUCGUUAUUGAAAAUAGAAGUCACUUCUACCUUCCUCCCGUGGAAAACUUGUUAUCUUCCAUUCUGUGUUUCCUACAGAAGGCAUCUGUGGUGGUUCUUUAAGCUACAAAAAAUUGCCCAAGCUUGUGUGACAUCAACCCUGUCAAGUGUCCAUGAUGCUGGGCCCUGAGGGAGGUGAAGGCUAUGUGGUCAAACUCCGUGGCCUACCCUGGUCCUGCUCAAUUGAGGACGUACAAAACUUCCUCUCCGAC
rnacentral:lncRNA from 1 species